rnacentral:sRNA from 1 species
AAUAAAAUUAAUUCCCCA